UACGGAGGGUGCAAGCGUUAUCCGGAUUCACUGGGUUUAAAGGGUGCGUAGGUGGGUUGGUAAGUCAGUGGUGAAAUCUCCGAGCUUAACUUGGAAACUGCCAUUGAUACUAUCAGUCUUGAAUAUUGUGGAGGUUAGCGGAAUAUGUCAUGUAGCGGUGAAAUGCUUAGAUAUGACAUAGAACACCAAUUGCGAAGGCAGCUGGCUACGCAUAUAUUGACGCUGAGGCACGAAAGCGUGGGGAUCAAACAGG
rnacentral:rRNA from 1 species